rnacentral:tRNA from 1 species
GGUCGGGCUGGUGUUGAUCGGUGGCGGCGCCGCGUUGCAGGCGCGACUGGACCCGCACAGCGGCGGUUCGGCUGCUGCUGCCCGGCCU